rnacentral:rRNA from 1 species
CAGCCGCCGCGGGAAUACGUAGGUGGCAAGCGUUGUCCGGAAUUAUUGGGCGUAAAGGGCUCGCAGGCGGUUUCUUAAGUCUGAUGUGAAAGCCCCCGGCUCAACCGGGGAGGGUCAUUGGAAACUGGAAACUUGAGUGCAGAAGAGGAGAGUGGAAUUCCACGUGUAGCGGUGGAAUGCGUAGAGAUGUGGAGGAACACCAGUGGCGAAGGCGACUCUCUGGUCUGUAACUGACGCUGAGGAGCGAAAGCGUGGGGAGCGAACAGGAUUAGAUACCCCUGUAGUCCCUGUCUCUUAUACA